rnacentral:rRNA from 1 species
CGGGUGAGUAACGCGUAUCCAACCUUCCGUACACUCAGGGAUAGCCUUUCGAAAGAAAGAUUAAUACCUGAUGGUAUCUUAAGCACACAUGUAAUUAAGAUUAAAGAUUUAUCGGUGUACGAUGGGGAUGCGUUCCAUUAGGUAGUAGGCGGGGUAACGGCCCACCUAGCCGACGAUGGAUAGGGGUUCUGAGAGGAAGGUCCCCCAC